CCCUGCCAUUUGUACACACCGCCCGUCGCUCCUACCGAUUUCGAGUGGUUCGGUGAACCUUUUGGACUGCGUCGACCUCGGUCGAUGUGGGAAAUCAAGUAAACCAUAUCACUUAGAGGAAGGAGAAGUCGUAA
rnacentral:rRNA from 1 species